rnacentral:lncRNA from 1 species
GGACUCGUUGGACUCUAUUUAUCAUCGCGGACCUCGUUGUGGGCUCAAUAUGAAUCGAAUCUUGAAGUAUAAAAUUAUAACAAUCUCUAUUUCGACUAGACAUUCGGCCUCCUCCUAACUUUAAGAGUUUUUGGAUCUCUUCGCCUCCAUGUCCUGGGGCAAUCACCUGCUGAUCAUGGAUGGACAAACACAGAAGUCGAGCCAGGCCGUUCGAUCCCAUCUCUAUUG